GAGGUACUCCCUCUGUCUGAAAAAGAUUUUCCCAAGUUUGUGCCUCAAAUGGAUGUAUCUAGCACUAACCUGGUGCUAGAUACAUCCAUUUGAAGGACAAGCUUUUCGGAUGGAGGGAGUACUAG
rfam:Triticum urartu cultivar G1812 contig1241550, whole genome shotgun sequence.